rnacentral:rRNA from 1 species
CUAGCGUUGUUCGGAAUUACUGGGCGUAAAGGGCGCGUAGGCGGCGUGUCAAGUCAGGCGUGAAAGCCCCGGGCUCAACCUGGGAACCGCGCUUGAGACUGGCAUGCUCGAGUUCGGGAGAGGAUGGUGGAAUUCCCAGUGUAGAGGUGAAAUUCGUAGAUAUUGGGAAGAACACCGAUGGCGAAGGCAGCCAUCUGGACCGUCACUGACGCUGAGGCGCGAAAGCGUGGGGAGCAAACAGG